rnacentral:ncRNA from 1 species
GUUGUUGACAUAUAGGCUAUUAGUGCAGAACCAAUACUGCCAAAGCAAUAACAUUUCUGAUAGAAACAUAUUGUGUGUUGAUAUGUGGUGAAAACCUGCAAGAAAUAUUGGGUAAACAAAUUUGGGCAAUAGCUGGAUAGAAACACACUCUAUUCAGUUUUU